UCCCCAAUAGUUCAGUUGGUAGAACGGCGGACUGUUACACCGUAUGUCCCUGGUUCAAGUGCAGAUUGGGGAG
rnacentral:tRNA from 1 species